UUUUGGUUGCAUCAUUGUCAUUGAAGAGCCGACUUUGGUUGCGGAACGACAACGAACCACUGCAACUACGUAACCCUCAUCAUGUCAAUUUUAACCUUUUGGCGGUGUUGUACACGACCCGCUGCAGUUUUUGUGCAGCCCAGAUCUUCAGCUGCAUAUCACAAAAAGGUUAUUGAUCACUAUGAAAAUCCACGAAAUGUUGGCUCUCUCGAUAAAAAUGAAGUAAAUGUUGGAACAGGCUUGGUUGGAGCCCCUGCCUGUGGUGAUGUUUAUGAAGCUUCAAGUGAAGGUAGAUGAAAAUGGCAAAAUAAUAGAUGCAAAAUUCAAAACUUUUGGCUGUGGCUCUGCCAUUGCUUCAUCAUCCCUAGCAACUAGAAUGGAUCAAAGGGAAGUCGGUUGAUGAGGCUUUGAAAAUAAAAAAUGUGGACAUUGCCAAAGAGCUGAGUCUCCCACCUGUCAAGCUUCACUGUUCAAAUCUGAUGAAGGGGA